AUCUCUCUCUCUCUCUCUCUCCACUACAAACAAUCAAGCUUGUUCUUUGAUCAUCGAUCGCUCAUGUACGGCAGUUGAGGGGAAUGUUGUCUGGUUGGAGACCUAACACCGCGAAUUAAUCAUCCAUGCCAUGGAAGCAGCAUAUGCCCGCCUGCAUCUAUCCAUGCAUGAUGGUGGAAGGUUUCGGACCAGGCUUCAUUCCCCCCAACUCAACACUCAGCUGCGUCGCUCUUCCGUCUCCGAUCCGAAUACACCGGCCGGCGGACGACGAUGACGACCACGACGGCGGCGGCGCUUCCUCAAGGCUCGCUCUGUUGGCCUGUCCUAGCUAGGAACCGUUCCGUCCCAUGCAUAUGAUCGAACGACAACUCUUUCUCCAGGUACGACUAAUCGCCACCGGAAUAUACUUCUCCUCUCGAUCGGUAUAAUAUAUAACACCGCAUCUCGCUCCUUGAUACUGUCAUAAAUUAGAUCGUCUUUCCAUGCAUCAUGAUCUAGCCAAGUCUCAGACUGUCACUGAAUAACAUUGAAAAUGCUUCGGUUCUUUAA
rnacentral:sRNA from 1 species